AGUAAAUUAAUUAUCUGUCGAAGACAAGGACAUUAUCCUUUUAUUUAAGAGAAUAUGACAAUUUUUCUUGCUUUUAACUUGUUCGACAAAAAAGAUUAUUUAUUAAAUUAAUUUUUCAACUCCACACGAUGAACAGGCACGAUGCUAAUCAAAACAAUUCAAUGAAAAAACGAACAAAACAUUUCUUUCUGUUUAAAGCGUUUGUACAUGCAUGACCUAAAUGUUUAAAAAAUUAAGCUGAUAUCUGAAAAGGAUGUACCAAUGCCAAUUCAGAUUUUUUUAAUUUGUAAUAAUUAUAAUUGAUAAAUUAUACACUCUUCAUCUGGUCAAACUGUAUUGGACCUUCUUUGCUAUUAGUUAAUCACUUAGAUUAUAUUUUUUUAUGGUUCAAGUUAUAUUGAAAAAAAAAACAAGUGAUAAUGCUUAAAAUCUCUAUCAACUACUCACUAUUUCUCUUAUCAGAAAAUGAGUACAAAGGCCUGAAAAAACAUAUUUAAACUGCAGAUUAUGUUGAAACAAAAACCAUAAGUGAUUAAGCACCUAAAAACCUAUUCUGAUAAUCAAGAUGGACAAAUAAAAUUCCCUGGGUUAAAGAAAGAAUGUGAUCACAAAUAUUCUCAAGUAAAAAAAUCCUUAUUUUGACCAGUCAUAUGGCAAACUGUGGAAUGCUAUUGCAUGUAGUUCAUAUCCAACCAGGAUCACGGCCAAAUUGUUAGAUUAGCUACCAAGAGAUAUACAGUUUACACUUACACUGUUACUUUCACUACCGUGCAAGGUUGUAAUUACUGAAGUCAUAUGAUAUAUUUAUUUAUAGAUUUUAUUUAUAUAUAUUUAUAGAUAUUAUUUAUUUUCAUUGUAACACUUUCAAAGCUCGGACUGGCUUUUUCCUUUUAGAAUAGUAUUUCAGCAUUGUAGAAGUUCAAUAAUUACAACUCUGCACAUAGGAAAUAAGGAGGAAAUAACCAACGACAAUAAAAAAAAAAAUUACACACAAUUUUUUUUCUAAACGAAUAAUUUGUGUCACAGGCAGGAUUCGAACUCAUGGCCUACGUCUCAAUACACCACUGAACCAACCACUUGAGCUACCGUGACUUCGAUCAUUGUAGUGUAAUUUUUUUAAUAUUGUUGUUGGUUAUUUCCUCAGUGGCAACACAAAAGGGUAAGCUUGCGAAGCCUUGGGGACACCCGUGGCCUGUCUAUCAGGGGAGAGACUAACCACCUCUCGUUCUGAAUACACCAAUAUGAGAAGGUUAUUUGAGAAUGAAUAGUUUUUAAUCCAGGUUGUAUGUAGGAUGGGCAUACAAUCUCAGAUUUUUUCCUCGAACUCAGGUGGUCAGGAGGGCGUUCGACUUGUUCGGUCCUGAAACUCAUCUCUUUCAUCCACCCAGAGGGACCAUACCUCCAAUAAUUUAGGGAUCACCGUGCCAAAGGGUGGUACGUUAUGACUGGGGUGAGGGGUGUAAUCUGAAAUGGUGUGCCUCGCAUUCUCGGGCAUUUCCUUUUUUUCAAUCCAGGUCCCUAAGACCUUUCCCAAACCUUCCUGCAAGGGGGAUUUCCAGGCAAAGCAGAAUGGUGAAGCCUAAAGAGUGUGGUGAACUCUAUAAAGCACAAGCUGUAUUCGUGUUUUGGCUAUACAUCAGCAGCACAGAUGGGUUAGGGUACUAGAUCCUAUCUGCAAAGACGGGGGAGGGUGCAUAACCAACUGAACUAUAGGGUAGCACAAAAUUCCAAGUUUCAAGCCUGGUUGCGCACUACAUGGGAAUGGAAUCGUAGCUCACUGGUGAGACCCUGUUGUUUGGUAGUGCCUAACUUCUGUACCAAAGGGAGAGUUCCUCUAGGGAGUGGUUAGAAAUCCCACUAUAAACAAUAACCACGGCCGGAUCAGAUCCGACUGGAAGUUCUCACUUUGGUGGGGCCCAAACACUCUGGGAGAUAGAGUUACAUUCUCUAUCUAGAUAGUAUAGCCGGUUAGUUAACGGAUGCAUUUUAGUACUGAGUGAGCAGCUUUCAAAUAGCUAUGAAGCACACAGUAGGAUACAUAGAUGUCGGCUCACUCUCUCUGUUAGUCUGUGUAUAGGUGGCUUCUUCUUCAAACCUCACAGGUCUGACCACUUGAAAAGAGGUUUCGCUCCUAUCUUGAGAAUCUUAACAUGCGAUAAGGCCAUGUACCAGGUGCACAGGCUAAAGAACCUCAUUGUCCUUCUGAUGACAGCGUGACCCCUAAUAAUGUCAUAUCAACUCAAAUGCCUGGUGCCAUUGAAAAAAGUUUAAGACUAAGAAUAAUAUCAAAUGAUAUCAACGAAGGACAAAGAAAAACCGAAAGCGAUCUUUAGGUGCAGCAGAAUGGAAGGGCAUAAUGCUUUUUGUGCAAAUGGGAUUCAUCUGUACAAAAGUAGGAAAGGAAGUAAGUAAUCUAAAUAAAUUGAGUGGUGCGUUAAAAUUGUCCAUCAAUAUAUUCACCGGUUUUUCAGUCCAUACGAUAAUGCAGUUUAGAACUGCUACCAAGUAAUUUAGCAGUCUGUAUUACAAUGUUGACAUUGAAGGUCAACUGUUAAUUUAAAAUAUUGAUGGAUAUAAAUUUUUCAUCUGUUUCUCAGGCAUAAGACGUGAUCAAACUUGAAAUAUUCUUCUAGAUUUCCAACCUAAAGAGGUGGAGGUAAAAGAAUUUUCUGUAUAAUAUAAAUGUACCUGUCCGAGUCCCAUCUGGCGAUCCAGUUUUCUCCGUUUUCGCCCAGGAUCUGAGGAUCCGCGACUACCAGGAUUUUGUGAAAGUCGCUGAGUCCGCCGCACUUAUUUUCUGGCCAGCUCAGCUUCUGCACCUCGAACAGCAGGAAUUCGAAAACGAUGACCAAAGUCGCAGCAUAGACGAGGGUCCAAGCGAAAAAUCUCCUGCUGCAGAUAUGCAUGCCUAUUGCAACAGAAGCCCACUCAUCAAA